UUUUUUUUUUUUUCAGCGUGAGGCGCGAUAAAAGGCGGGAAAGAGCCUGAGGCGAAGCGUGAGCACUCUUCACAAGACAUGGGAACAACCUAAAUGUCCAUGGACAGAUGAAUGGAUUAAGAAGAUGUGGUAUAGAUACACAAUGGAAUACUACUCAGUCAUGAAAAAGAACAAAAUAAUGCCAUCUGCAGCAACAUGGAUGCAACUAGAGACUCUCAUACUAAGUGAAAUGUUCUCAGUGUGGGAAGAGAGAAGAAAGAGAGAAAUACACCAGGAAGGAGAUUCCAGGGCCGUUGAAUUUUCUCCUGUCUUACACCCUCCCUCAAAAGUGGGGCAGAGAGAUUUCCUUCAAAGAAGGUGCUGGGCUAAAAAAAGAAGAAAAAAACAUCAUGGCCACCGCAGAACUUCAAGCAUGGAUCCAGGUGCCCAUGUGCUAUCAUCCAGAUGCUUCUGAUGAGCCCUGGUCCCUCUCAUUGACCUCAUCCUCGCAUGGGCCCUCUCUUCCUAGUGGAAAUGACUUUGCGGUUAUGUGAGGCCCACUUGGAUAAUCAGCUGAUCGGGAGACUGAAUUCAUCCCCCUUUACCAUCUAACCCAACAUAUUCCCAGGGCCUGGGAGUGAGGGCAUCCUCCUUAGGGAGCUGUCCUACCACAGGAGGGAGAGAUGCUGAGGAGACACCCCAAGGCCAUCUCUGCUGCCUGUGAUGGCUGGCAUGGACGCAAGGGUGGCAUGAGGCACGGCUAGGAAAUGGAAGGACAGGGAGUCGCCGUUUAAGUGAACACAGACUGCCCGUCAGAUGCGCUUCUUGGAGCCUCCCAUGCACGGCUGUGUGUUUAUGACAGUCCUGUUAAAUAGAAACGCGGAUCCUCGCUUUCAAAGGACAAAACAGAGGGUCAGCAUGGUGGAGUGACUUGCGUGCAUUACACAGUAAGCCGGUGGCGGAAGUGGGAUUAGAAGUCAGGCCUGUCUGCCUCUAAAGGACAUUUAAAAUAACCUGAACUUUAUAUUCAUUGUAUGCGUGUGUGUAUAUUCAUAUGUAUUUCCUCCCUUUCAGAAAAUUAUUUUUCAAGUGUACAAGUAACGUGUAGAUAGAUUGUCCUUGCUGUUUUUGGUGGGGGGCUGUGUUUGCAGCAUACAAAAGUUCCUGGGCUGUGGAUCGAACCCGUGCCACAGCAGUAACAAUACCAGAUCCUUAACCACUAGACCACCAUGGAGUUCCUAUCCUUGCUUUUUAAAAAAGAGUGUAACAGGUCAAGCUAAAGUGUCCUUUGAGGAGUUCCCAUCAUGGCUCAGUGGAAAAGAAUCUGACUAGCAUCCGUGAGGAUGCAGGUUCGAGCCUAGCCUCGCUUAGUGGGUUCAGGAUCCAACAUUGCCGUGAGCUGUGGUGUAGGUCACAGAUGUGGCUCGGAUCCUGCAUGGCUGUGGCCAUGGUGUAGGCCAGCAGCUGUAGCUCCAAUUGGACCCCUAGCCUGGGAACCUUCAUAUGCCGCAGGUGCAGCAGUAAAAAGACAAAAAAAAAAAAAAAAUGUCCUUUGAUUACCUGUCUGCAGUCUUGGUCUCUUCCCUGGAAGUAACCCCUGAUAUGAGUUUCUGGUGGGCCCUUCUAGACCUCGGUGGACAGUGCGUGCGCGUGUCUAGUGAGAUACUGUAUGCAUAGUACCGUAUAGUAAAUGAGUAGUAUUGUUUUGAGCAAGCCUGUGAGUGUGUUUUAACAUAAAUGGGAUCAUACUGUACAUAUUGUUCUACAGCUUGCUUUUUUAACUCAACAAUAUGUCUUGGAAAUCUAUCCAGCUUUAUUUAAAUAGCUCUGUACCGUUUCUUUUAAGAGCUGCAGUGGUGUUCCAAAAAACGCGUGUGUCUUUAUCUGUUCUCCUGUUGCUGGACAUUUGGGUUAUUUUGGGCUUCUUUGCUCUUACAAUGCUGCCGUGAGCGUCUUUAUGAAGGUUUCCUCAAGUACGAGUAUGUGUCCUUGGGGUCAGGAGGGAGAGGUGGAAACAUCAGCUUAUGUGGGUAUAUUCACUUUAAUUGUAAUAAACCCUUCCUGUAACUUUC
rnacentral:lncRNA from 1 species